AGAUCGGAAACCCCUGCCCCUACACCUUUCAAGAACUGCUUGGGCUCUUUCAGUGUGACAUGGAAAAGCAGGAUGGCAUACACCCCACUGAAGGAUGUAGGCGGAGGCAGAUCUCUCAACCAGGCAUAUUGCUUCUGUACUGCUCUUCUUUUGCUCUAAGGUAUGGGUUCCCUCAACCUCUUAGCUAGAGACCAGCAAAUGUCAGGGAAGCACCCGGUGUCUGGCUCCCCUUCCAAAUCAACACCAGUGUCUUGUUACAGACAAGAAGUCAGAGGAAAGGGCGGGGUCCCAGCAGGGCAGAAGCCUAAGCUACUAUGAGGCACUCACAAGUGGCAGCUCCUGUUACUCCCUCUUAAAUUAUGUGGGAAAUCUUAACGGAAGGGCAAUGGGCCCCAGGAAUACCUGCAGCGUAGUGACCUCAGAUCCUGAUACUCACCAUGAAACUCUAAGAUACUGAUUGGAAGCGACUUGUGGCUGCUGGCUGUGUGUGUGACUCUGCCGGGGACCCUGGCAGCCCCCCUGUAGCUGUCUUGAUGCCUCUCUGUCACCCACAUCAUCUGCCUACUUAACGCCCAGCUCUGCUCAGAAAACGUUAUGUCCUGUGUCGAGGAGAGACGACGCAAAAUUCUGAAGUCCAUUUCCCUCUGGCUCCUGGCAUACCCUCGCUCCUUUUCUGAGCCCAGCUCGUGGUGUGCCAGAGCCUGUGUGGUCCCCUGACUUCUGCACAGUGUAGAACUUUCUCCAAUAGUCACAAUGGCAAAGGGAGAACUGGGGGGCUGGCAGGUAAUUAGAAUUUCUCUCCCUCUCUCUUUUAAUACUUUCAUUUUGAAUGUCUUAUUUGUUCAUGUGUAUGUUUUAACUUAAAAAAUUCUUUCUGAUAUUUUUAAUUUUGUGUCAUAAGAAUGUUUUCCUCUACAGUAUUUGUCAUACCAGUUUAUAACCACAGAAAUGCAGAGAUUUUAUUUCUAUUGGAAACAUUACUACAGCUAUGUUUUACUUUUGAACAGAAUUUUUACUUGUAUAGGGUGCUUACUAAUGUUAAAUAGUUUGGAGUAUAUAACAUUUACAUUAAGGACUCAUGGUAGGUUAAAACCCUAAAGGGUAAGGGGUUUAAAGGAAAUAAAUAUUCAAACUGAGUCUUAUUGCCAAUUUUGGUGUAAAUGAGUUUGUGUCAUUUCAAUUACAAAGAUAAAAGUAUGCCAUAUAAUUUAUGUAAAAUUUGUUUUUGUGGUGUACAUAAUAGUUAUCAAGUCUGUUGACAGAAGUAUAUUUUAAAAGAAUAUACAUGUGAUGAAUCCAUAAUAUCUGAAACUUUGCUGAGAUAUGAGUGGGGCACACUUCAUUGUAAAUUACAGCAAGGAAAGAAAUUAAGGAAAGAAGUUAAGAGAGUGAGAGUGAGUGGAUAUUCACACAAUUGUGAAAUGUUUAUUAGUUACCUUUUGUGAUGUAGUGUGGUUCUCAUUUUAAACCUUGGAAGGUGAAAAUGUACAAACUAUAAAUAUGAAUGUUCAAACACUGACAGAAAUUCUAAUAUGAAUUAAAAAAUAACGAAAAAACAACAAUAUAUUUUAUCUUACUAAUUAUGAACUUGGU
rnacentral:lncRNA from 1 species